UUUUGGGACUAGUCGGAAUAGUGGUUUCCUGACCACAAAAUUCGAGAUAGAAAUAAUUAUUUUAUGAUUAUUUUAAGGUCUAUGAUAUGAUUGCAUGAUUGUGUGAAAAUUUCGUGAAGAAAUUUUAUGCAUAAAGUGCUUAAAUUGAAAUUAGGGACUAAAUCGAAUAAUUUGCAAAACUUGCAUUCUAGAAGUUUCUAGAAUGAAAUUGUUUUGAAAUAUUAAUUAGGAGGUAUUAAAUAGAAUUUUACCAAUUUCUAAGUCUUGGACAAAAAUUGGACAUGGAUGGAAUUUUUGGAAAGUUUAG
rnacentral:lncRNA from 1 species